AUAUCCGAUACUACAGAAUAAUAAACCUAACUUAUUUUAGCUUAGAAAAAAAAAUUAGGUUCUUCUGGCAGCAGCCCGCUUGGAAAUCUUUCGACGUUGAGCAAGCAUAUGUGUAUACAUAAUGUAAAGACCUAGAAAGUUAAUAAAGAUUUUGGAAGAAAAGCUGGGUUUCACUCAACUUACCAGGUGGAUAAAUAGACAUCAAGAUGGGCCAAAGCAGCUUGUUCAAACUCCAGACGUACUGAGCAGCAAUCCUACUUUUCAAUACUAAAAGAAAUUCACUUCCAGCACCGAUGGGAUAGAGGAUUAGGAAGGUAUUAUAGCGAAGCCAUGUUAAGAAAGCAGGGAUGUCGCCGUUCAGGUUGAAUGCAUAAAAUGCAUAACGAAUUAUUUCGGUAAUGGACCAAGCGAUGAUCAUACUUAAGUAUAUAGGAGAUCCCUCAAUAACAUAUGAAAAUGGAUAGCACACACCCCAAACAAGGUAAAGUCGAGAUGCAACUUGAAUGAUUGUUGUUAAAGGAGAAGAAGAUACUAGUCCAAAUAUACUGUGGAAUACUUCAGCUAUUGCCAGAGUUUGUACCCAGCGAACUAAAGUAUUUGUUUCAUGAAAAACUACGGCUGUAUCUUUGGUUAUUCCCCAUAUCAAUCCUGUACGAAGCAAAACGCUCAUCCAAAGAAAGCAGGAGAUAACAUUGUAUAGUUUUAAAUAUUGUAUUUUUACUAUUUUUAACUUUGUUAAUAACUGAGAUCUAUAAAAAAUCGAGUCUUACAAAUUUUCGACAUUUUUGUUGGGAUUGUAGUUGGAACAAUACGAUUUUCAAACGUUUCACUACGCGGCCUCACUUGUAUGAGACCAUUGUUGGCCAAUAUUGUUUGUUGCGUUCUGGGGGAUGGAUAAAUUCUUUCUAUCAAAAGAAUGUAUACAAACACUUUACAAACAACUUUUAAAAUUCGGAUUUGGCUAACAUCGUUAUGUAUUAAUGAAAAUAUCAA